UUUAUUACUUUUAAGUAUGAAGGAUCCUAUCCAAACUUUGAAAUGUGGUGUGUUUGUUUUUCAUUUUAAAUUUGUAAAUGUGCAAGCACGUGCAUUCAUGAAGGAAAGAGAAAUGGUUUCUCAUUUGGGGGAGAACCAAACACAGGCUGGCAGCUGCCGGGAGCUUUGUUAUUACCAUUUUGGACUGAUAUGUGAGUUGAAAAAU
rfam:Echinops telfairi cont1.381896, whole genome shotgun sequence.